rnacentral:rRNA from 1 species
CCUACGGGAGGCAGCAGUGAGGAAUAUUGGUCAAUGGGCGCGAGCCUGAACCAGCCAAGUCGCGUGAGGGAAGACGGUCCUAUGGAUUGUAAACCUCUUUUGUCGGGGAGCAAAAGACGCCACGCGUGGCGUUCCGAGAGUACCCGAAGUAAAAGCAUCGGCUAACCCCGGGCCGUCAGCCGCGGUAAUACGGAGGAUGCGAGCGUUAUCCGGAUCGAUUGGGUGUAAAGUGUGCGCAGGCGGAAGAUCAAGUCAGCGGUAAAAUUGAGAGGCUCAACCUCUUCGAGCCGUUGAAACUGGUUAUCUUGAGUGAGUGAGAGGUAAGCGGAAUGCGAGGUGUAGCGGUGAAAUGCAUAGAUAUCACGAAGAACACCGAUUGCGAAGGCAGCAUACCGGCGCUAAACUGACGCUCAUGCACGAAAGUGUGGGUAUCGAACAGGAUUAGAUACCCUAGUAGUC